GACAGAGGGGGCAAGCGUUGUUCGGAAUCACUGGGCGUAAAGCGCACGUAGGCGGAUUGUUAAGUCAGGGGUGAAAUCCUGGAGCUCAACUCCAGAACUGCCUUUGAUACUGGCGAUCUCGAGUCCGGGAGAGGUGAGUGGAACUGCGAGUGUAGAGGUGAAAUUCGUAGAUAUUCGCAAGAACACCGGUGGCGAAGGCGGUUCUCUGGGCCUGGCCUGACGCUGAGGAGCGAAAGCGUGGGGAGCGAACAGG
rnacentral:rRNA from 1 species